ACAAAGCUUGAAGUUCGCUCAACCGCGUCUUCAACAAAUCCAUCCACACCUUGUGCAAUAUUGACAUCGAGGCAAGUUCUUUCGGGAAUUUGCUGGUCUUGUGGGGGGAAAAACCUAAAGGAUAGGCAGCAAUGCUUUAAACCUUUAAGCCCCCCAAAAGUAUUUAACCUAUAACGUUUUUUGUUGGUCUGAAACUUUUUAUUGAUACAAUAAAAA
rnacentral:misc_RNA from 1 species